GACGAACGCUGGCGGCGUGCUUAACACAUGCAAGUCGAACGGGUCUGCCCUGUUUUUUGCGGGGUGGGUCAGUGGCGAACGGGUGAGUAACACGUGAGUAACCUGCCCCUCACUUCUGGAUAACCGCUUGAAAGGGUGGCUAAUACGGGGUGUUCUGGCUGUGCCGCAUGGUGUGGCUGGGAAAGAUUCACUUUUGUGGUGUUUUGGUGGGGGAUGGGCUCGCGGCCUAUCUGCUUGUUGGUGGGGUGGUGGCCUGCCAAGGCUUUGACGGGUAGCCGGCCUGAGAGGGUGGGCGGCCACACUAGGACUGAGAUACGGCCCAGACUCCUGCGGGAGGCAGCAGUGGGGUGUAUUGCACGAUGGGCGGAAGCCUGAUGCAGCGACGUCGCGUGAGGGAUGGAGGCCUUCGGGUUGUGAACCUCUUUCGCCGGUGAAGAAGGUCCUGCUCUUUGUGGUGGGGUUGACGGUAGCCGGGUUAUGAAGCGCCGGCUAACUACGUG
rnacentral:rRNA from 1 species